UUCUGUCUGUGUCACCCUGCAGCGGGAGGGACAGACUCUGUGUCCCAUAGCUCCUUCUGUCUGUGUCACCCUGCAGUGGGAGGGACAGACUGUGUCCCAUAGCUCCUUCUGUCUGUGUCACCCUGCAGUGGGAGGGACGGACUCCGUGUCCCAUAGCUCCCUUCUGUCUGUGUCACCCUGCAGUGGGAGGGACGGACUCCGUGUCCCAUAGCUCCCUCUGUCUGUGUCACCCUGCAGCGGGAGGGACAGACUCCGUGUCCCAUAGCUCCUUCUGUCUGUGUCACCCUGCAGUGGGAGGGACAGACUC